CCCUUAGAUGUUCUGGGCUGCACGCGCGCUACACUGAUGCACUCAACGAGUUUACGACCUUGCCCGAUAGGGUUGGGUAAUCUUUUUAAAAUGCAUCGUGAUGGGGAUAGAUUAUUGCAAUUAUUAAUCUUCAACGAGGAAUUCCUAGUAAGCGCGAGUCAUCAGCUCGUACUGAUUACGUCCCUGCCCUUUGUACACACCGCCCGUCGCUCCUACCGAUUGAGUGCUCAGGUGAAUAAUUCGGACUGCAGCAAUGUUUGGAUCCCGAACGUUGCAGCGGAAAGUUUAGUGAACCUUAUCACUUAGAGGAAGGAGAAGUCGUAACA
rnacentral:rRNA from 1 species